rnacentral:tRNA from 1 species
GCCCAGGUGGUGGAAUUGGUAGACACGCUACUUUGAGGUGGUAGUGAGCUAAUCCUCGUGGGAGUUCGAGUCUCCCCCUGGGCACCA